GUUGAACGCUGGCGGCAUGCCUUACACAUGCAAGUCGAACGGCAGCACGGGUUCUUGCACCUGGUGGCGAGUGGCGAACGGGUGAGUAAGACAUCGGAACAUGUCCUGUAGUGGGGGAUAGCCCGGCGAAAGCCGGAUUAAUACCGCAGACGAGCUACGGAUGAAAGCGGGGGACCUUCGGGCCUCGCGCUAUAGGGUUGGCCGAUGGCUGAUUAGCUAGUUGGUGGGGUAAAGGCCUACCAAGGCGACGAUCAGUAGCUGGUCUGAGAGGACGACCAGCCACACUGCGACUGAGACACGGCCCAGACUCCUACGGGAGGCAGCAGUGGGGAAUUUUGGACAAUGGGCGAAGGCCUGAUCCAGCAAUGCCGCGUGUGUGAAGAAGGCCUUCGGGUUGUAAAGCACUUUUGUCCGGAAAGAAAUCCUUGGUCCUAAUACGGUCGGGGGAUGACGGUACCGGAAGAAUAAGCACCGGCUAACUACGUG
rnacentral:rRNA from 1 species